CCUACGGGAGGCAGCAGUGGGGAAUAUUGGACAAUGGGCGAAAGCCUGAUCCAGCCAUGCCGCGUGUGUGAAGAAGGCCUUCGGGUUGUAAAGCACUUUCAGUGGGGAAGAAAGCCUUGGGGCUAAUACCCUCGAGGAAGGACAUCACCCACAGAAGAAGCACCGGCUAACUCCGUGCCAGCAGCCGCGGUAAUACGGAGGGUGCGAGCGUUAAUCGGAAUUACUGGGCGUAAAGUGCGCGUAGGCGGUCUGAUAAGCCGGUUGUGAAAGCCCCGGGCUCAACCUGGGAACGGCAUCCGGAACUGUCAGGCUAGAGUGCAGGAGAGGAAGGUAGAAUUCCCGGUGUAGCGGUGAAAUGCGUAGAGAUCGGGAGGAAUACCAGUGGCGAAGGCGGCCUUCUGGACUGACACUGACGCUGAGGUGCGAAAGCGUGGGUAGCAAACAGGAUUAGAUACCCGAGUAGUC
rnacentral:rRNA from 1 species